rnacentral:tRNA from 1 species
GGAAUCACAAAUUAGAGCUUGUUAGAAAGCUUUUCAUUUACACUGAGAAUUUAACUGUGCAAUUCAGUUUAAUUUG